GAGUGGCAAAAAUGGUUAUUGAAAGGUUGUCGGUUUGAAUCCACCAGAGGUGCCUUCGAAGAAAAAAAAGGCCCGGUAAUCUUCUUCCGAGAGGUUACAGCCUCAAAAACCCUAUGGAGCUCAGUUCUACUGUGCAACACAUGAAGUCAUCAUGAGUUGGAAUUGACUCAACAGCAACUGGACCCCAAGAUUGGAAAAAAUAUUUCUGUGUUAUCUCUAAGGGACAACUUCUCAAAUCAAAGAAGAAAUCACCUGCUUCAACUACCACUGAGAAUCUAAAGAAAAUUGCAUAUUUAUAUAUCUAUAUAUAAGAAAAAAUUCAAGUCUCAAAUUGCAAUAUUGAAGGAUUCCAUGGGCAAAAAAUUGAAGGAUGCAGGAAGCAUCAAAAGAAGAUGGAAAGAAUACACAGAGUAGCUGUACCAAAAAGAAUUAGUCAAUGUUCAACCAUUUCAGGAGGUAGCAUAUGAACAAGAACUGAAGGAAGAAGUCCAAGCUGCACUGAAGGCACUGGUGAAAAACAAGGCCCCAGGAAUUGAUGAAAUACCAAUUGAGAUGUUUCAACAAAUAGAUGCAGCGCUGGAGGUACUUACUUUUCUAUGUCAAAAAAUUUGCAAGACCGCUACCUGUCCAACCAAUUGGAAAAGAUCCAUAUUUGUGCCCAUUCCAAAGAAAGGUGAUCCAACAGAAUGUGGAAAUUAUCGAACAGUAUCACUAAUAUCACACACAAGUAAAAUUUUGCUGAAGAUCAUUCAAAAAUGGUUGCAGCAGUGCAUAGACAGGGAACUGCCAGAAAUUCUACAGAUUCCGAAGAGGACGUGGAACAAGGGAUAGCAUUGCUGAUGUCAGAUGGGUCUUGGUUGAAAGCAGAGAAUACCAGAAAGAUGUUUACCUGUGUUUUAUUGACUAUGCAAAGGCUUUCGACAGUGUGGAUCAUAACAAAUUAUAGAUAACAUUGUGAAGAAUGGGAAUUCCGGAACACUUAGUUGUGCUCAUGAGGGACCUGUACAUAGACCAAGAGGAGGUCAUUCAGAUAGAACAAGGGGGUACUGUGUGGUUUAAAGUCAGGAAAGGUGUGCGUCAGGGCUGUAUCCUUUGACCAUACUUAUUCAAUCUGUAUGCUGAGCAAAUAAUCUGAGAAGCUGGGCUAUAUGAAGAACGUAGCAUCAAGAUUAGUGGAAGACUCCUUAACAACCUGUGAUACGAAGAUGACAAAACCUUCCUUGCUGAAAAUGAAGAGGACUUGAAGCACUUACUGGUGAAGAUCAAAGAAUAUAGCCUUCAGUAUGAAUUGUACCUCAACAUAAAACAAAAAUCCUCACAAGUGUACCAAUAAGCAACAUCAUAAUAAAUGGAGAAAAGAUUGAAGUUGUCAAGGAUUUCAUUUUACUUGGAUCCACAAUCAAUGCUCAUGGAAGCAGUGGUCAUGAAAUCAAAAGACAGAUUGCACUGGGCAAAUCUGUUGCCAAAGACCUCUUUAAAGUGUUAAAAAGCAAAGAUGUCACUUUGAGGACUAAGGUACACAUGACCCAAGCCAUGGUAUUUUCAGUCACCUUGUCUGCAUUAGAAAGCAGGACAGUGAAUAAAGAAUACCGAAGAAGAAUUGAUGCCUUUGAAUUAUGAUGUUGGUGAAGAAUAUUGAAUAUACCACGGACAACCAGAAGAACAAAAAAACCUGUCCUGGAAGGAGUACAACCAGAAUGCUCCUUAGAAGGAAGGGUGGUGAGGCCUCGUCUUACGUAUUUUGGACCUGUUAUCAGGAAAGACCAGUCCCUGGAGAAGAACAUCAUGCUUGGUAGAGGGUCACUGAAAAGGAGGAAGACCCUCAACGAGAUGGAUUGACCCAGUAGCAGCAACAAUGGGCUCAAGUAUAACAACGAUUAUGUGGAAAGCCUGACCACAACCCCCAGUUCUUGCUCAACCACUCCUGCUACGCCUGCUCUUCGCUUGGGACUGUAAGUCCACUGACUGUCUUACUUGAUUUUCAGCCAUCAGCUUCUUCCACUUUCACUUCCCUUUCUGUCCAUCUUAGAUCCUACAAUCCACUGUAUUUGUCACUCUCUUAUUAACACUAUAAACUCUUUUGCCACUCUGAUCUUUAAUCUCACCUUUGUGGCAACACUCCAACGCAGGAUGAACUGAGCUAUUUCUAUUUCCUUCUCCAUGUGUGCAACUAGGAGCCAGAGCACCACUGGGCAAUCUCACAUUCAGCAUAGACGGUACCAUUUCAAGUUCAUGGUUACCCACUGGGCCUUUAACACUUUCUGGUGAUCCUCCUACAUCCUUCCAGUCAGCCUACUCUUACCCUUCGUGCAAUGAGCAUUCAAACCUCCUUUGCUCUACUCAGUCUUCCAUGUCCUAUCUCAUCUCUCACUCUCAACAGAUGUCUUGGCAUACAUCUUCACCAAAAAACUAAAAGCCAAUAAAUUUACAAAUUACGGCUGCAUUUAUACCCUCCUUGCCCCUUUCCCUCGUUUACAGUGAACAGAGAUCCCUUCUCCUGUCAAAGGCCAAUUCCCCCACCUGUGCUUUGAACCCCAUUCUUUAUCUGCUCAGAAAUCCUUUGCUGUUGAUUAUGCCCUCUCUCCUGAGUCUUCAGCCUUUUCUCUCAAAACUUCUAUAUAUGCUCAAGUUUUUUUCCAUCU